rnacentral:rRNA from 1 species
CUUUACUGCAACUUGACGUUGGAACUUGGCUGUAUUUGUGUAGGAUAGGUGGGAGACUUUGAAGCAGGGCCGCCAGGUCUUGCGGAGUCGUCGUUGAAAUACCACCCUGGUGCUGACGAGUUUCUAACCGUGUCCGUAAGCCGGACAUGGACAGCGUCUGGUGGGCAGUUUGACUGGGGCGGUCGCCUCCUAAAAGGUAACGGAGGCAUUCAAAGGUCCCCUCAGCGUGGUCGGUAAUCACGCGCAGAGUGCAAACGCAUAAGGGGGCUUAACUGCGAGACCGACAGGUCGAGCAGGUACGAAAGUAGGAGUUAGUGAUCCCGCGGUUUAGCGUGGAAUUGCCGUUGCUCAAUGGAUAAAAGGUA